rnacentral:rRNA from 1 species
UACGUAGGGGGCAAGCGUUGUCCGGAUUUAUUGGGCGUAAAGAGCGUGUAGGCGGCCAGGUAGUUCGCUGUGAAAACUGGAGGCUUAACCUCUAGACGUCGAUGGAAACCGUCUGGCUAGAGUCCGGAAGAGGAGAAUGGAAUUCCUGGUGUAGCGGUGAAAUGCGCAGAUAUCAGGAAGAACACCCGUGGCUAAGGCGGUUCUCUAGUACGGUACUGACGCUGAGACGCGAAAGCGUGGGGAGCGAACAGG